AUCACCUGGAGAUCUUGUUAAAAGGCAAAAUCUGACUCAGCAGGUCUGGGGUCAGCCUGAGAUUCUGCAUUUCCAACAAGCUCCCAGGGGAUGCUGA
rnacentral:pre_miRNA from 1 species